ensembl:lncRNA
UCUCUAAUGUCCCGUGUACACUAGCAAGCGGUAAAUUGCUGCAUGCCGCCAAGGCCACCCAGAGUGCCUCGCUUGUGGGCAUGCUGGCAGCAUAUAGCAGCACGUCCGAUUGGGCGUCAAGAAUUUAGCAUAGCAAAUGUGUGAAGGUCUGGUUAUUAAAUUGAGUAAAUAGUUUAAUCCAUUCUCCAUUUCAUGGAUUUAUUCACAGGUAAAUGGUAAUAUGCUCUGGUGACAAACUUUGCUACCCUGUUUCCAAUCGUCCACAUGGUUGGGAGAACCUAUUCAAGUAAGUGAAUACAUUUCGAAAAUGUAAAAAACACAAUGUAUUAUUAGCUAACUACUUAAUGCAGGCUAACUCAAAUGAGCUGCUAACAUAGCUAGCUAUCUAGCCAACUUUACAUACGGUAUAGAUAGCGAGCUAAUUAAAUAUCACCAGCUACCUAAACUUCAUAUUAGCUAGCUAUCUUGAUGUAUUUAUCACACACAAAAAAACUAGAAACGCAUUUUUAGGUAGCUAGCUAACAGCCAUGGAGGAGGGUGAAAGGAUAGCAGCCCCAACUGUCAGUGAGAGAGUAGGCUAUUCUGGAUAGGGCAGGUACUUUUGUGUAGUUUCAGGCCCUAGAAGUGAGGACGGAGAUAAUAGUAACAUAAUUCAGUGUGAUAUAAUGAAGUCUGUUUCUUGUGAAGUUUUCUUUCCUCGGAUACAGAGAGCUGUGAAAGCCUGUCUGCAGAUGAAGUCCCAAUUUUUUAUUUUAUUUUACUAGGCAAGUCAGUUAAGAACAAAUUCUUAUUUUCAAUGACGGCCUAGGAACAGUGGGUUAACUGCCUGUUCAGGGGCAGAACGACAGAUUUUGUACCUUGUCAGCUCAGGGAUUUGAACUUGCAACCUUUCAGUUACCUUUCAGUCCAAUGCUCUAACCACUAGGCUACCCUGCCACACCAAUGAAGAGCAGUGGCUCUCAGUCAUGGUCCUGGGGACUCAAAGGGGUGCACAUUUUUGUUUUUGCCUUAGCUCUACACAGCUGAUUCGAAUGAUCAACUCAUCAAGUGGUAUUUAUGUAUUCAUUUGUAAUGCUACCCUUGAUUAUUAUCCUGCUAUUGUCACAUGAAACACGUGCACAUGCAUCCAUCUAUCCAAUGUUAACAUGAUUUUGUUACGUGAUAUUAUACUUUAGUCAUCAAAUUGUAUUAGUCACAUGCGCCGAAUACAACAGGUGUAGGUAGACCUUACAGUGAAAUGCUUACUUACUACGAGCCCCUAACCAACAAUGCAGUUUUUUUAAAAAUACAGAAAUAAAAGUAACAAGUAAUUAAAGAGCAGCAGUAAAAUAACAAUAGUGAAAACUAUAUACAGGGGGGGUACUGGUUAGUUGACGUAAUAUGUACAUGUAGGUACAGUUAUUAACGUGACUAUGCAUAGAUAACAACAGAGUAGCAGCGGUGUAAAGGGGGGCAAUGCAAAUAGUCUGGGUAGAGAGAGAUGAGAGAAUCCACAAUGACCUGGUGAUUAUAAAAAGUCUACUGUAAGUUACUGUAAGAUUGGGUGACCAGGGCCAUAUCUGGGACUGCCUCCUCGGGGAAUUCAGGCGUGUGAAAGGCUACCUGUGUCCUGCAUAACUUCAUGAGUAUGGACACGAGGGCCUGGAGGGCAUCUGCAGCUCGCCGCCUUGUGUCAGAGGAGAGGUCUGCUGCUCUGCAGGAUGUUUCAAGGAUGGGGGACAACAACGCAGCACGAGAGGCAAUCCGUGUGGGGGAGAUCUUCACCUCCUACUUCUUCGAAAAGGGUGCUGUUCCCUGGCAACACUAUAGACUACAUUAUGCACAACCAAAUGCUCUUUUAAGAGCCAUCCACAUUACAAUAAGUGUAUUCUUCCAUUUACUUAGCUAUGUCAACUGCAGUUAUUACAUUUCCCAGUUUCUCUCCUUUUGAUUUCUACUUCAGGUGACGGUGCUGUCUGUACAAAAACAAAACAGGCACUUAAGAGACACCCAUAUUGAAAACAUUUAGAACAAGUAGACACCCUAUAACCCACACCCUCGUAUCAAUCUGAUUGAUGGAUUGUGUUGUGCAGUAAGCAGGCUCAGGCGUAUAACCAUGGCUCAUUCCACCUUCAAAGAAUAGAAGAGGGGACCAACCAUGGAGAAUAGUUAUAUCAGCUGUGUCGGUGAACCCCUCCCACAUCUGAACAGGCUGACAGAGUGCACAGUAUGAUCAGAGAUAUGUUUUGAUGUGAGAGAGGAUGCCAACCCCCAGUCCCAUCAUCUCCACCUCACCUGCUUUUAAGAUAACCUUCGGGCCAACUAGACACUUAUGUAAUUGUGAUGAACUGAGAGAAUAUUUGGGUAGCACCGUGAUUCAUUAUUCAUAUGCUGUCUUCCCUGCUCCUAUGUUCUUACCUCUUUCCCUUUGUCUUUUACACCUCUCGCCACCUCUUUCUUCCUCUGUUUUUAUAAUACACCACAGAUGUGCAUUGAAGUACAGAUUGAACUUGUAGUUAUAAUGCAUCUAUGUAUAACACUUGGAUAAUGAACUUCUUUCAAUAAAGCGUUUCACAUUCUUUACUGGUUCAAAUUAAGUCUCAUUUGAUGAAAUACUACACCUAUCCUGUGUUUAUCAGAUCAAUGCAGAUGAAGGGC